CCUACGGGAGGCAGCAGUGGGGAAUCUUGCACAAUGGGGGCAACCCUGAUGCAGCGACGCCGCGUGAGCGAUGAAGCCCUUCGGGGUGUAAAGCUCUUUCGGCUGGAACGAUGAUGACGGUACCAGCAGAAGAAGCUGCGGCUAACUACGUGCC
rnacentral:rRNA from 1 species